rnacentral:lncRNA from 1 species
UUUUUUUCCUCAAAGAAGUAAAAUUGUACUCGCGUCCUCGUCUUCUUUCUGAGGAAGUUGGUCCAUCCCCCAAGUAUUCUCCUCACUGGAAAGCACCUUUCUUUCUUUUUUUUUUUUUUUUUUUUUUGGCAUUUUUCACCUUAACCAUUGCAUAAGUUCGGACAAGUCUAGAAUACAUUUAUCGGAUAACCAACAGGAAGAGUCAGUACAUUCUACUUCCACCCAUUCUGCUAGUUCAGACUUUCAGGAGAUCAUAACUCCAGUCUCAAUCUCUAUAGUCAAUCUGGGAGAUUUAGGUUGUCCUAGAAUCAUGGAAAAAAAAUCCUGAAAGUGUUGAGAGUUCUGGGGAGGAAUGAAAAGUUGGAUAUUAUGAUGGUGAUGAGGAAAAUUGUUUGAGAAGUGGAGGGCCGAUUUUUAUAGGGCAGUAGUGACAGUGGAUCUGCUAACGAACUAGAGGGCUAAGUAUAGUAGCUCAAUAGAAAUGGCAAUUUCCAACCCUCUGACCGAGCUAGUGAUCUUCCGAUGGGAUAUAUAGCUCUAAACUCUGCCAUCCUGAAUGCCUGUCUCAAACUCCCUUUUCUUAGGGUCAUUCAUAGGUUUCUUUCUUUCUAGGGAAUAGCUCCCACUCAACUAUGCCUUAAUAUGUACUAAACACUGGUAGCCACUCUAAUUCUGUGGUAUAAAUUAGGGAACCUCGAGCUGAGUGUGGAGUAAUUUAACUCUUUUUUUACGUUCAAAGAGGAGGAAAAGAAUACUGGUUGGUGGUAUGCCAGUGUUAGAUCUAGAAUUGGGGAUCCACUAGUGUUAGAUACUCUUUCUUCAAUAAAGCAAUGAAAUUAGAGUUCUUCUUUGUAAUAGGUGAAUCUCAAUUUCACCCUACCUAUUAUCAUUUAUUAUGUAAGUGAAUAUCUUCUUCGUAUUCUGUUAAAUUAAGUUGUAAGUAUAUCCUCAGCUCUUUUGUUGUGAUUGCAGACUACAAGAAGGCUACUUUGACUUCGACUAUUAAUGAGCAAGCUGAAGCAAUCAGAGCUUUUCCUAAAAAGCAGAGGUCCUACAAAUUCGUUAUCUCUUAUUCCAAUCUCUUUCAAGUGAGAUUAUUUUGAUCUCAACCCCCGACCUCAAUGGCAACUGAGGCUUUUACUUCUAUCUAACUAUGUAAAGUAAGGAUCGACUUAUCUUUUAAGUGUUACAAUGAGUUUGUAGUUUGGAUUCUAACUCUUUUUCUCUUUUUUUAGAUCAGGACAAAUAAAUGCUAGGAUAUAAGGUAACAAAGGUGACGACUCCAGCCAAUAAAGGAAAGAAAAGAAAGACCCCUACUAAAGUAGUAGGAUAAACAGAAGAGGUUAUAGUUGAGCAAGGAGCUGGACUUUCUAUGCAUGGCCAUUUUGAAGAGCCACCAGCAAGGUCAACUUCUAUGGCCUUUUCUCUAGUACAAUCCUCUCCCACAAUACCACUCCAGAUGUUGACCCCUACUCUUACUCCUCUUUUCGUCACUGUCGGGACCAACUCCUCGAGGUCAUAGGAAUGAUGCCUAGAUCUGCAGAGACCUAGCAUUGAUUGCUUGGUGGGCCGCCGACCUAAGAUAUUCCUGGACUUUCUUAGGGCUCCAUCUCCAUCCAAGGAAUCGACGGCUACACUCUCUUCUCUCUUUAGAGAAUCUACCAACCUCCUCCUCACUAAUAGUUAGAAUGGGAAGAAGCAGAAGUUUAUUUCUAAGAUAUCAGUGGAUGAGGCCAUGAUUACUAUCGAGCUCCACAGACACAAAUCCAUUCUAUAUAUGAUGUCUAUAGCAGAUAAGGUGCGUACUUGAGCUCAUGUACUUAGGAACUUUUGGAAGUCAAUAAUCAUGCCUUGAGCCUUUUCAAAAACAUGGAGGUUGAGAGGACAAGAUUUGCUAAGAAAAAAAGGAAAACAAAGAUCGCCUUAAAAAGAUAGGGGUCGAGCUGGAGGUAAAGUCAACAUCAGAAUUGGGCUUCAUGGAUGAAAUGAAGGCCUUGAAAAUUUAGGGAAAAAAGGCCAACGAGAGGGCCUUUACUGAGAAAAUGAGGGUUGAAGAGGAAAGAGCUAAAGUUGACGAGGCUAUGAAGAGGGUUGAAGAAGCCAACAUGAAGGCAAAAGAGGCUGAGGCUGAGGCUGAGGCUAAAGCAGUCGAGGUAAUGAAAUUUUGGAGGGCCUCUCCUGAGUUUGGUGCUCUAACUUAGGAUCCUAUGUAAUGGCCUUGGAAGAGCUUGUAAAACACAUUGGUAAAGAGAGGCUGGUUCUGAUACUGCCUUCUCAGAAAAAUCCUUAGAAGAGCAGAAGAAAGAGCUGGAGAAAAUGUCUGAGACAGGUGAAGUUCGCAUAUCUUCUGUGGAUAAAGAUAUAUAGGAUGAUGUCAUUUCUCAAUAAGAUCCCAAGUUGCUUAGCUUCCCUUAUUUAAUGUUGCUGCUAAACAUUGUUCAUUUUUUUGAUUUGCUCAUAAUCAACCUUUUGCUAGUAAAUGGAUAUUUUAUUAUUAUUGAGUGUCGGUUCAUUUUUUGCACAAAUUGACAAUGUUUUGAUUCCCUUAAUGGAAAAUAGUCUAAAUGUUGUAGCACAUGUAACCUUAUCUCAACUUGCUUAAAAGUAAGGCUUUUGUAAUUUCCUUAAGAGAAAAUUUAUCAAUGUGUUGCAGCACAUACAACCUUAGGUCUGCUUGCGUAGAAGCAAUGCUUUUGUAAUUUCCAAAAGAAGAAAUUUAUCUAAGUGUUGCAACACAUGCAACCUUAGGUCAGCUUGUUUAGGAGCAAGG